GCCGCGGUAAAACGUAGGACGCAAGCGUUAUCCGGAGUUACUGGGCGUAAAGGGCGGGCAGGCGGUCUGUGCAAGUGGGGUGUGAAAUCUCCCAGCUUAACUGGGCGAGGCUAUUCCAAACUGCACGACUGGAGGGCAGUAGAGGUGCGUGGAAUUCCGGGUGGAGUGGUGAAAUGCGUAGAGAUCCGGAGGAACACCAGAGGCGCAGGCGGCGCACUGGGCUGCACCUGACGCUCAACCGCGACAGCCAGGGGAGCGAAC
rnacentral:rRNA from 1 species